UCCCCCGUCAGUCACGCGGAGGCGCUUCUCGCGGAGGCGCGGCUUGGUUGGCCCGUGCGCGCUGCCGAUCGCGGGCCCGGCCGCCUCUUUGAACUGAAUUCGCGGGAAAAUUAGGGGUCGGAGCGGCCUUCCUGCUGGCCCCGGUGCAUUGUGGGGAGAGAGGGACCCAGCGAGCGGCUUAGGGAGCAGUUUCUGGCUUUCUGAGCGUCGUCAGUCGCCGCCCCCGAGGGAUACAGGACCCCUGAGGAGAGGCGGGCCUCUGAGGAACUGGGGGCGAGGGGCCUGUUAAAAGCUCUGGGAUCCAAGACCGAUCAUCGAGUCUCUAACUUCACAGGAAGGGGCCUGCCUGGGGGUUGGUCGUGUCGCUUCAGGUCUGAGGGGCUCGCGGGGCGGGGAUCGGGUUGCCGGUCCCCUCGUCACCACGUGCCUCAAGCCACCCUUGGCCGAGUCCCACCCAGCGAGCGCUGGAGAGGACAGAGGGCCGUCAAGGGCUCACGGACGCCCCUGGGCUCCACCAAAGGAAGCCAUUAGUAGGGAGAAGGAAUGUGCUAGAAAGGAGGAAAACGAUUUUGUGUAGGUGCGGUGAGGCUUCAGCAUCGUUACUGAGAGAGGUUGUGGCUUCUCAACAUGCUGGAAGCAAAACCUAGACAUUUGAUGCCCAGACACCAUAGGAGUGGUCAGAGGGAUAAACUGGAUUUCUUAAAAGUACGUAUAUCUAUCUGGAGAACCUACUCAUUUUGCGCUCAAAAACUGGAAAGAGAACCCGGUGUUUUGCGGGUCUCACUUAAAAAGAAAGAUGCUUAGGCCCGAUUUGGUCUUCUGGUACGAACUGGUUUGGAGCUGAGCUAAUAUUCUUCAAGAUUUGAAUUUCGGAUUGAGCAAAGAUGACCUCUAAGGUGAUCUUCCAGUUUAAAUCCUGUGAUCUUGUACUACAUUGAAAUGAAACAUUAGCUUCAAAAAUCCCAAUCUAUAAACACAGAACCAUUUCAUACUUUCCAUAACAUUUUUAAAAACGUCUACUUUGGGCCCUUUGCAGUUAACUUCAAAACACUGUUUACAAAGCAAGCAUCUUUGGAAUGAUUAUUCAAAUAUCCAAAGUGCUGAUUUUUUUCAAUGCAUUUGCUACUUAAGAAAGUGAGCUCUAUAAAUGAUGCCUGUUGUACAAAAUUUGACAUUUCAGGAACACCUUCGAAAUUAGGUAUACCAGUUACUGAUUUUUAAGUACAGUCUAUAUUUUUAGUUAGACAAAAAGUUCAGAAUGUUUCUGUAUUUAAAAAAAAUUUCCCCCUAUGAAAAGAGUGGUUUUGUUUUUUAGAUUUCUGAAAGCCUUCUCUGUUUAAUGCAGUCCCUAGUGGUUUGUGGGGGGUUAGAUAUUGGUAAACUGCUCAUACUUAGCUUUACAGGGUUAGAAAAUGAAGUUUCAUCAGUUCAGCCAUCUGGAGAAUUAAUGCACACUAAGCAAAUCACAAAAUAUCAAGAUAUAAACCAGAAUGCUAAUAUGUUAAUUAACAGUCAGUAUAGAUGGCAAAGUUACCAGUCUUCAUUAUUUAUACAGGGCUCCCUUUUGAAGGGAGGGGAGGAUAGAGGAACAGGUACAAAGAAAAAAGGCUCCCUUUUGAAGGGAGGGGAGGAUGGAGGAACAGGUACAAAGAAAAAAACCAAGUCGCAGGUGAUCAUAAAUCUUUGAUGAGUAAAGAAAUGGAAUCAGAGGAGUUGGGACAUUCUUAAAGGAUAUUCCCCUUAGGAAAUAGCAUUCUUGGUUUCAGCACAGACAUGGAUUUAAUGUACAGUAGCUAACUAGUACUGAUCAUGUGAUUCAAAGCCAUCCAUGCCAUGAGAGAGGAAUAGUAACAGAUUCUCACUUUUUGUAUUCUCCUUUGUCCAGAUUGUAUGUAGAACACUAAAAAGAUCUUUAUUAUUGCGGACAAAUUAGAAUUAAUUGACGAGUUUUGUUGGUUACAUUUACAAUCUUCUUAAUCAGAUUAUGUUCUAUAGCUAAAAUGUUGACGGUCCCCUCAGGAUUGGUCACUUCUGUGGCUACCUUAUUUAUUUUGCGUUGUUAUUUUUAAGUUUGUUGUGGCAGUUGUUUUUGAUACUUGUGAUGCCAGUUCACUGUCAAUGACAGAUUUAUCUUUAGCCCCCUAUCUCACACUGAAUUUGAGUUGCUUCCUAAGGUUUUGCUUGUUUUUGCUUUUAUGUGUAUCUGGAAUUGGUAAACUCCUAAAAAGCAAAGGCCACUGUCCAUUUCUUUUAUAUCUCCUAGCACAGGACUAGCUAUGCAUGCAAGGAAAGAAUAGCAAUCAUUUUGAGCUGUCGUGAGUAUACUUUUAUGUGUAUUACCUCAUUUUGUCAUAUGGGUCCUAUGAAACUGUCAUUAUUUUCAUUUUGAAGAGAAAAUAGACUGAGAGAGGUUAGGUGACUUGUUCAUUUAGGGGCAGAGCUGUGACUUGGACCCACGUUUUUAAACUUCAAUUUCUGUGCAUUUUUGCGAUCAGGAUAAAAUUAUCCCUUGUACCUGGAGUUCAACCUUUUUAAGUUUGUUUCAAAAACUGAGGGCUGGAGUUCCCAUUGUGGCGCAGUGGAAGCGAAUCCGACUAGGAACCAUGAGGUUGCAGGUUUGAUCCCUGGCCUCGCUCAGUGCAUCAAGGAUCUGACGUUGCCCUGAGCUGUGAUGUAGGUCGCAGACGCGGCUCCGUUCUGGCGAUGCUGUGGCUCUGGUGUAGGCUGGCGGCUACAGCUCCGAUUAGACCCCUAGCCUGGGAACCUCCGUGUGCCGGGGGAGCGGCCCUAGAAAAGGCAAAAAAUAGAAAUAAAAAUAAAAAUGCACAAAUAUAUGUAUUUGUAUCUAUCGAGAAACACUGUGAUACUUGGAAAAAUUUUUAAAUGCACAAAUAUAGGAGUUCCCUGGUGGCUCAGCAGGAUAAAGAUCAGCAUUGUCGCUGCUGUGGCAUAGGUUCCACCCCUGGCUUGAGAACUUCCACAUACAUGGGUGUGGCCAAAAAUGCACAAAUAUUAAAUUUAUUGGAUUAUAAAGGAAACAAAAAAGUUGUGAUGUAUUAAUACAGGUGCUUUUUUGAAUGUACUAAAAAAGAUUUAGCAGGUCAGUCUGAUAACUAUCAUAAUUUCAAAGCAGUGAUGAAAGCAAAUAAUAUUUUGAGAUACCUAUAAGAAGUGUAAUGUGAUAUGGAAAUGCCUGUCAUUUAUCUUAGAAACAAAGCCAAUGCUAGCACUACUGUGAUUUGUCACCUACAGUGAUAGUUGAAUACUAAAUUUCAGUUAGAAGUUAAUGUACAUAAAGAUGUAAUUUUUUUCCUCAUGUAAAUUCCCAGACUCCCUGAAUUUGACUCAAGUUAACAAGUUGGUGUUGUAUCACCAAGUCUUUUUCUUUCUACUUGACUAUAGGCUCUUGGGGGCCGGGGUGAUGGGUGAUUUGUCUUAGCAACUGAGGUGUGUAUCAUUGUGCCUGGCAGAGAAUAGGGGCUCAUUCAAUGAAUUUUGAUAAAUAAGGUUUGACACCCAUGCAUAAAUAUAAAUAUCAAUAGUAAUAAUUAAGUACUUACUAUGUGCCAGGCAGUAUUUUAAGCUUUUGGCAGUUCCAACUCAUUAAGACCUCUCACCAACCCUCUGAUGUAGGUAACUAUUAUUAUUUCCAUUCCAUGGAAGAAGGAACAAAGGCAAACCUAGUUAAGUAUCUUGCACAAGGUAAGUAAUGGACCUGGUAUCCUAACCCAAACAAUCUGUUUCAAGAGCCCUCACUCCUGACUGUCAUGCCGUGAAACUGGAGACCCUUAGAUAAGAUUUUGCACGUGUCAUUUCUAGGUCGAGAAAGAUUAUUAACUAUUGCCUCCAAGAUGCACUGGAAUGAAUAAUCAUCAGUAUUGGAUGGAUUUGCUGAAAAAGAACCAAGGAACCUGGAAAUGUUAGGGAGCAGAGAGAUGACAAGCAACUUCCUGAGUAAAAGGAAGGGUGGCACAACUCAUUGCCCUUCCCAGCAAAUGCUGAGGAGAAAAAGAGGCGAUGGGGAGAGCAAAUGAGCUGAAGGUCUACUUCUCAGUUCUCCCUCCUCUUUAAAGGUGGAGCUCACCCUCUACACUGGGGACUUCCUCUUUAUUUUAAGGAAGCUACCAGAAGAUGCGCUGCACCAAGAUGAGGGAGAAAAACACGACAUGGAAUCGGGGACACAGGGGAUUCACAUAAAAAAGUAAGGAAAAUUCCAAGGGUGAUGAUGAAGGGAAACCCCAGAACAACAGCUGUGUGAUUUGCCUAGUGAGCAGCAGUUAAAAUUGGAAUGGGAGGAAUUGCCCGAGAGAAAUAAAAAUAGAUAUAUUACCUGAUGAGUUUGAACGGAUGGGGAUUUACAGUUUGGGCAGAACAUUUGUGUGGGGAGUAGGGGCGAACGAGAGGUACCUAGAAAGCUUAACAAAGAGCUGAGACCCCAGAGAACAGAAAGGAGAUAUAAUAAAUAUAAUUAUAGUCUCUUAGACGCACUGUGAAAAGUAUUUUCAAAUUCAUUUAUUGCGAAAUGAGAAACUGAUUUAAUCCACAGUUGUGUUGACAGUGUGGGGAGGGUGAGCGCGUGUGGAGGAAUAGGGGACAGCGCUGGUGAGAGGCGGAUAAGCUGAUCCCGCACUGAAUUUGAAACAGACCGCCCCCUCCAUAAACAAAGGAAAUUUCCCUCCGAAACUGCUCAAGUCUUGGACCCCCUCAGUCUGAUAAAGGACAUACAAAGGGGGCCAGAAGGGAAAAUUGGAGGGCUUGGUGGAGGGGUUCUUUGGAGCAAGGCUGUGGGAUCGUGGACUCCCUCGUCCCCCGAGGAAGGGGCAGCGGUUCUACCCUCCCUCCCGUGCUUAGGUGCGGCUUUCGGUAGGAGGGGGUGCGGGCAGGGAGCCCGAGGCCCCGGUGCCCGCCCCGCGCCGGCUGCGACCCGGGCCGCCUCGCGCAGGGAAUC